UCCGGAAAUUGGCUGUAAACAAGAACAGACAGAAGUUUUACCAGCCAUCUGUAGCCCUCUAGAUGCCAAACAGCCAGGCUCGCUUGGUGUGCUGCCCGUGGACGACAACAGGAUAUGCCACAACUGACAGUGCCAAGGAGUUAAUUAAAUCUACAUACUCUAUGUACUGCUUGUUCUGCUGAGUUACAAGAUUAUUUUGUUUGAUAAUGUUCAGUGCUUUUUGUCUACCCGAGAACCUGCACAAAAAUGAGGUAAAACUUCAGAGGCUACUUACUGGGGUGCACAGGACAGACCUUUUCAAUACUAAUAAUUAAUAUGGGUAAGAGCUAUCACACUGCGGUGUCAUCUCAUCCUCUGAGCUGCUUCCACUGAUUCCUGUCUACCAUGGGUCCAGCCUAACUGAGGAGAUUUUUGCAGGUCACGAAGCUGAGCUUUAGAAGAGGAACAAGCCCUUCUUUACGCUGCGUCAGGAGAUGAGAGUCUCUCUGAGACCAAGCUGCAGGGAGGCUCUCGUAACCCCUCAAGCUGCUAAAGGAAGAGGGGGGAAAUCAAACUGUAAUGAUAGUCUUUACAGUAAAAGAGAAGGAAGCAAAUGGUGCAGAGCAGAAGGGUGGAAUAUUGGGGACUGAUGCCCUUUCUUCCAAAAAAAAAAAAUAUUGCAGGAACUGAUAAAAGGGGAUGUGUGAAAAAGCUGUGUGAAAAAUUAAGUUGUGUGAGCUUCUAUUUCACUGCAGGUAUCAACACGCUGCCUAAAAGGGAUGAGCAACUUCUCCCCCGAGAAAUUCAGUGGGGUGCAGUCCUGAAAACAGCAGUGAUUUGUUGAUGGCAAACAAAGAGAAGGGGCAAUGAGUGAAAAGAAAAUCUGAAGUAGUAUGCUCGGCUUGGUAUUUAAUUUUUUAGCAUAUCUGGGGUGUUCUUACUGAAAAGGUAGGUGUGCUAUAAAGGGGAGGAAACGAGGUGCAGAAGCACAGAAUGGAAAAACUAGGACAGGAGAAUCCAUUUUAAAAGUUUUUUUGACUGUUAAGAGCUCUGUGUAGCCCAGUAUGGUGGAGCCCAGCCAGGUGGACUCUUGGUGAAGAGAGAGGGUAAGUGGGGACCUGACAGCAGAACUGCUGUGGGGUCAGUGGGGCAGCCUCACGCUAUGGGAUGAGCUGUGGUUGGGGUGAGGCCCUGGAGCUGUGCAGAAGAGGCAGAUCUUACCUGCCUAACCCUGGGUCUCAGCAGCCCUAAGCUGUGAAUGAGCUGGUGUUGAGGGAGGUGGGGAGCAGACAGCUGCCCUAGCAGUUGUCUCAGCAGGAAACUGAGAGAAAGAUUUAAAUAGCUUUGGCUGCACUUUUGAAAAGGAGUACUUUUGGUUUCUGUAGAUGAUGCAGUUUAUCUUCCAAUUGACCCCUUCUCCCUUCAGUAAAAAUACUGUUUAACCCACUUGAUUCAUUACUGACAAACGAAGCAAAAAAAGCCUGUUUAGUUUUCCCGAAUUUCUUGGUGAGAGACCAAGCAGCAGUCAUUAACAGACUCCUAUGAGCUUAAUUCAGCCUUGCUGCUAAUCAAAGCCUGGCAGAAGGGCUGCAAAGGCUUCUCUGCUCUGCCACAAGGGUGGCUUUCUGGAGGGGACAGUUCCUGAGGGAAUUACGAAUUGACUUGGACUCUCAACUCUUCUCCACCGUGGCAGAUUCCUGACUGCGCUUGCUAACGAGUAUGGAUUUCAGCUGCUGUAAAUCCUACAUGAAAGAUUUCAAUAUCGGGUGUCGUCCACCGGCCUGCCAGUAUGUCGUAAUCUCUCUCUCCGAAGUGGACUAGCUUGGUCAGUGGGUCGUACAGGCCUCCGUGGAAUCCUAUAACCAGCUGGAAAUCAAGGAAUGGAGCGGGAGAGGGAGGAGGGGAAGGAGAAGACAAACGAGCUCAGAGCAUGAAGUGCCGGGGGGAAACGUUGGACGGACUGUCAAGAGAUCCAAGAGGGGAUUGAGAAGAAAAGC